AAACUUUUAUGAAAAAAUACUAAGAUGAACUUCAACCUGGACAAUGAAUGUAGAGGUCCGAAAUGUAGAAGCAAAAAUUAUUCAGAGGAGAGUCCUUUUUACUAAUGGUUAAAUCCCAAUGCCAGAAAGUCUCUCGCAUGAUUCAGGUGGAGAACAGGAGACAACAUCCUUUCAAGCAUUUGAGCAUUAAUGAUGCUCCAAUCUUCUAUGGCUUUGAAUAUGUACAAGGGAUGGUAGAGGUCUUCUUUUC